UACGGAAGGUCCGGGCGUUAUCCGGAUUUAUUGGGUUUAAAGGGAGCGCAGGCGGAAGGUUAAGCGUGACGUGAAAUGUACCGGCUCAACCGGUGAUGUGCGUCGCGAACUGGCUUUCUUGAGUGAGUACGACGCUGGCGGAAUUCGUGGUGUAGCGGUGAAAUGCUUAGAUAUCACGAAGAACUCCGAUUGCGAAGGCAGCCGGCGAGUCCUCAACUGACGCUAAUGCUCGAAAGUGCGGGUAU
rnacentral:rRNA from 1 species